UACGUAGGGUGCAAGCGUUACUCGGAAUUACUGGGCGUAAAGCGUGCGCAGGCGGCUUUGCAAGCCAGAUGUGAAAUCCCCGGGCUUAACCUGGGAACUGCAUUUGUGACUGCAUGGCUGGAGUGCGGCAGAGGGGGAUGGAAUUCCGCGUGUAGCAGUGAAAUGCGUAGAUAUGUGGAGGAACACCGAUGGCGAAGGCAGCCCCCUGGGCUAACACUGACGCUCAUGCACGAAAGCGUGGGGAGCAAACAGG
rnacentral:rRNA from 1 species